ACGAAUAAAUUAUCUUAAAAUUAAUUAUCUUAGAUAACAUAUCAAUCAUGUAUAUGAGAUAGAAAUGUCUAAGACGUAUGAAUACAGAAUAUACAAAAUCAAAUAUAUAUUCAUAAUAGCUACUCUAACAUUUAGUCUUUAUUCACCGUAUAAUUUUCUCGACCCAUGAUAAUAACACGUGAAGGACGUGUUAAAAUAUAAUCAAAUAAUAAAAAUUAAAUUGUAGACGAUGGUUACUUGAUACUAGAGGGAAACAAUAUCAUGCCGGUAAUUAAGAUCCAUCUAGCUCCGGUGACACGGUCAAUGAAGAGUUCCUGAUCGGAGAUUUGAGAGGGGCUAGUUCAUGAAAUAAGGCUGCUCGUAGGGUUUCUGAUUCUCUAUAAACAGAUCUCUAUGAAUGAUACGUAAUCUGGAGUCGUGGUGUAGAUAAAGAAGUCCACGAGCAAUGCCCAAUAUAAUUUUGAAGCGGAUAUUCCAAUCCAACAAUGGGUGUACGCUAUGAUCUUGCAAAACAAGUUUGUAGAAAUCACAGCAUUAGCAAAAACCGAAAACAAUUGAAGGUAUAAUGAAAUUAGAGCUUUACUGAACCAACUGGAGAGAUUCUAUAAUGGAGGGGAGCCAAGUUCUCAGAAGAAAAGAUAUGAGCCCUUCAGUGUCCGGAAAUGUACUUCUCCAGUUAAAUCAUCACAAGAGAAACUAUAAUACAAAGGAUCCCCACAAUUUGGUUGACUGCUCAAUGGAUAAGGUAUGGCCUGCAAAGUUAGACAGAUUGUGAAAGGAAGUACCAAUAUCAGUAACUGUUACACGGACAGAGAGAUUGUGGCCACCAGUAUAGUUCUCCUGAAGAUUGUUGAGAUCUUUCGUCCAAAUCUGGCAACUAGGUACAGUUUCCAUGCUAGAAGUGUCUCUCUCUGCUAUAGGUUGUUCAAAGUAUGAAUAUGCUAGGCACUUACAGUUUCUUAGACACCCUUUUCUGCAAUCUUCUUCGCUUUUAGCCUCCACAUACGGCAUGUCUGGCUCCUCAAAUUUCAUUAAGUGCAAAUUUAAGAAUG